CUAACCGAAGUAACACCUCUCUUUUUUACCAAAUUAAAUCUCUUGUUUGUCAAAAUUUGGUUCUUCAAAUCCCUAAACCCUUUUCGAUAUACUCGAUCUAAUAAUUCAUGCUACUAACCCAUGUAAGCCCUCUUGUUCCGGAGGUGAUAUCUACGAAAACUUUCUAGAAAUCCGAUCUCCAUUGGUUCCAUGGCCGAUGAGUUAGGCACGAAAACUACAAAAGAAAUAAAUUUUUUACCACUGAUGGAGUAGGCAACAAUGGAGCUGAAAGAUGUUAAUUCCAUGGAGGAACUACCCUUGUUAUUGCAGUACUACGGGUAUAGAAUCCAGGUACAUCUUAUCAAUCCCGAUACUAGCGAGCUGAGCUUGCUUUUGGAGACUUCAAGGUACACCUGCCCGCGUCCGCAGGCCUCGGAGUUGCCUUCUAUCUUGUUCUUUCUUAUUUCAUUUCACUUUUAUAGACAGUGAUGUAUAGGAUUGUUCAGCACUGUAUUUAGAGCUUGUGACUUAUAUUUCACCAGGUUUUGGGAGGUGUGCGUAUUGAGUUUAGAGAUUUAUUUAUGAAAUUGUUGGAGUUUUGAAAUU